AUGAUGGAUUAUGGGUAAAGUUGACCCAAAUUUUCGGAAGGUCACCAUUGUUUACUGUGUUGUUGGUGAAAUGAACUUCAGGGUAUUACUUACUAGAAAGUGAAAUGAGUGUUAACUAAUGCGUCAGGUUACUGUUCAAAAGUGCAUUUAUCUAAAAUCUGACUGAUUAGUUGUUCAUUAUUACUGAGAAAUUACAAGAGACCAGCGGAAAUUUGUCUGUAUAAUCUCGAUUUAGAUCUAUAAGAAAUAUUGUACCUACAGCUGAUUCAACAAUUCCAAUGGAUCUCAUCGAAAAAAGUCAGAAAAUGAUUAGAUUGGAUUCAUCCUCUGAAAAUGUUUAUCCUGUAUUUAUUCAAAGAAACUGUAGUAAAAGAAAACUAUUAAUCCCGUUCCCCUUUACCACCAGCUCGUUUAGACAAUCUUUACAAAGUACUCAAUAGAAGUUUUUUCACAAGUAUUUUAGACAGUGUGCAUAGGUUUUUGUGUAUAAUCGAAAAGAAAUAAAAAUGAAGUUUCUGGAGAAUUCAAAAUUUGAAGCAAUAAAUGCUGCUCUAACUGUAGAGAUAGAGAACUACAGGAUUGAGGGAAGAAUUGAGAGUUAUUCCUGCAAGAUGGCUGGCAAUGACAAGAGAUUGUUUAAGACAUUGGUACAUGAGUCAGCAGAGUCACACCACAGUGAUCUACAAGUGCUUUCACCACCACAGAGCACUGUUUCUCUCAGUCCAAAUAAGAGUUAUGGAAGAAGCAUGAGUGAUGGUGAGUCCUAUCUGUGUGAUACAAUCUCAACAAAGACACUCUUCUACCUGAUCUCUACACUCAAUGCCUCUUUCAACCCAGACUAUGAUUUCAGUAAUGCUAAAAGUGAAGAAUUCAGCAAAGAGCCUAGCCCUGAGUGGGUAAUUAACACAGUAGAUAGCCAGCUUCAGUCAGCUGCCAAUGAAAUUUUCUGCAGAAUCAAACAGAAUCUGUGGUCAGCUAUAGAUGAGGAGAUAAUGCUGCGAGAUUGUGAUGUAUAUAGCUACAAUCCAGAUUUAAGUUCUGAUCCCUUUGGUGAAGAUGGAUGUAUCUGGUCCUUCAACUAUUUCUUCUAUAACAAGAAACUAAAACGCAUAGUGUUUUUUACGUGCAGAGCUUCAAGAAGUGCAGGAGCAGUUGUCGUUCGUUGCAAGGGAAACAAUCAUUUUGCGACUUCCCGUACACGCGCGCACUCUUCAAAAAUCCAAAGUUCGAAAAUAUCCAAUAUGCAAUUUCUACAGCCUGGUAAACGUGAAAGAGUUGGACAAGGAGUGUAAAAAUAGAGUGGAGAUGGGAUUGGAUGAAUGAGAAGGACUCAUCUGGCAACAAAUACGACAGUUGGUUGAAAAUAAAAACCAGACCUUCCAGCCGUAUAUGGGAAAACGAUAAAGUAUCAGUCGUCGGGGAAAAAAGGCAGUGAAGGAUAAAAACCACCAAAAAACAAACUUGGAAACUGCAAAAACUAAUCAGGUACUUCCUGGCUGUGGAUUCUCAUGUAGAGUCAAUGCAGGAGAGAAUCCUUACUACAGCAGUUGUAAGUGAACAUUGUCUGCCGUUCUCUCUGGCAGGUGACAUCAUAGAUCUAGUG
rnacentral:misc_RNA from 1 species